rnacentral:rRNA from 1 species
UGUGUAGGCGGAAGAUUAAGCGCCUUGUGAAAUCCCUCGGCUUAACCGAGGAAUUGCUUGGCGAACUGGUCUUCUUGAGGCAAGUAGGGGUGCAUGGAACUCUUGGUGGAGCGGUGGAAUGCGUAGAUAUCAAGAGGAACGCCGGUAGUGAAAACGGUGCACUGGGCUUGUCCUGACGCUGAGACACGAAAGCGUGGGUAGCGAACAGGAUUAGAUACCCUGGUAGUCC